UCGAUAUUUAAAAACUACAAGUGUUUAUUUUUUUUUGUCCUUAUUAACAAAAAAUUUCGUCGUAAAUAUUCAAAUUUAAUUAAAAUCAGCUAAAAAAAGAACGAAGAAUUAUACUUAGCUUAUGCAGCAUAAACCAAUAAGAGAAUUAUGCUCAAAUUUUACACAGAAACUCAUACAUAAUAAUAGAACAAUCUAUAAUCUAUAAAAUUAAAAAUUUUUAGUAAUGCUUUGAAAUGUAACGCAUUUAUUUCUUAAAAGAAAUUAUGAAUACUUUCACGCUGCAAAAUUUAUAGUUGUUUUUGUUUUAUCAUCUGCUGAAUACAUAUUUUUUUAUACAUAUAUCUUACAUUUUUAAGUAUGUGAUUGAACACGGAAAUUUAUUCAUUCUCAAUGGCAUAUUUUCAGUCCAGACUCCAAAUUUUCAAUUUACUUCCACUUAAUGUAACUAAGGCUUGCUGUCAAUUGAUAUCCAUGUACAUAUAUGUAAAUAGUGUGCGUUAAUUUAAUGUAUUCUUAGAAGAAUAAAUAUAACCCCUUCUUGUGGCAACAAUCGUGGCAUUACGCCAAGUCUGUAUGUCCAAAGAAAAAUUUUAACGAGGAUUGUAACAGAAGAUCGAUAUCAACCACAUCAAAGAAACUUGAGUAUUAUGGAUUAAAGAAAAAAGCACUGUCUUUAAAUUUCCAAAAGUCAUCAUCGACAAAGAAGAAGCUUGCAGUACAGAAGUUGACCUUUUUGGAAUAUGUGUUUAAUCCUAAGAAAUUCUCAAAGAAUCCUUCCACUUGUUUGCUGGCCAAUCGUGAAGAACAAAUACAUUAUAAAGAGGAUUCCUAUUAUCAAACGACACCUAAAGAUGUGUUAGUCUGUGCCAAUCUAAUUAAAUCGUCCAAAGACUUGAAAAGACUCAUAGAACCGCAGCCUAAGUCGCCACCAUCAUACAAACUGCCUAGAGCUGUUUUGCUGAGUAGAGCGAUGGUGGAAGAUUCCAACAAGAAGAAAAAUAUUUACGAAGGCAAGAAUUUAAAACCUAUAAUAUCGAAAAAACCAUAUGAAGGAAUGAAGCCAACUUCAAAUACCAAAAGGAUCAUCCAACAUAAAGAGAACAUUAGAACGGAAGACGUUAUAUCGUAUGAGAAAUCGACAUCUCGUUGGGAAUCGAUACCAAUAAAUGUAGCGAAAGUUCGCGAUACAGCGAAGAUACUGCGCCAGGCGAUGGCACAAAAAGAGCCACAAAUACACUCAAGAAUAGAACAACUCAAAAUUUUAGUAAACAAGGAAAUGACGAAGAAGUUCCAAUGUGCAUCACAAAUAGAUUCGAGACAGAACAACACCUUUUUCUGCUAAAUUCUUUCGUAUAAAAGCAUUAUAAAUGAGCAAUAUUUAUACUACUUAGUUUAAUUUUUUACACAUACACACUACAUAUAUAAAAUUUUUCUAUAUAAUACAUAUGUGGAUAAAAUCAAAGUAUAUCUGCACGCAUACAGGCAAAAUUUUAUAUGAAAAAUUAAUAUUAUAUAUAGUAUAUAGAUAUGUUGCAGGCAGUUAACACAAAGAAUAAAAAUAUGAAU